rnacentral:rRNA from 1 species
GAUGAACGCUGGCUACAGGCUUAACACAUGCAAGUCGAGGGGCAGCAUUCCGGUUGCUUGCAACCGGUGAUGGCGACCGGCGCACGGGUGAGUAACGCGUAUCCAACCUUCCCGCGACCAAGGGAUAACCUGCCGAAAGGCAGACUAAUACCUUAUGUCCUCCUUUGAAGGCAUCUGACGAGGAGCAAAGAUCCGUCGGUCACGGAUGGGGAUGCGUCCGAUUAGCUUGUUGGCGGGGCAACGGCCCACCAAGGCAUCGAUCGGUAGGGGUUCUGAGAGGAAGGCCCCCCACACUGGAACUGAGACACGGUCCAGACUCCUACGGGAGGCAGCAGUGAGGAAUAUUGGUCAAUGGGCGGAAGCCUGAACCAGCCAAGUAGCGUGCAGGAUGACGGCCCUACGGGUUGUAAACUGCUUUUAUGCGGGGAUAAAGUUGCCCACGUGUGGGUUUUUGCAGGUACCGCAUGAAUAAGGACCGGCUAAUUCCGUGCCAGCAGCCGCGGUAAUACGGAAGGUCCGGGCGUUAUCCGGAUUUAUUGGGUUUAAAGGGAGCGCAGGCCGCCGUGCAAGCGUGCCGUGAAAAGCAGCGGCCCAACCGCUGCCCUGCGGCGCGAACUGCUUGGCUUGAGUGCGCCGGAAGCGGGCGGAAUUCGUGGUGUAGCGGUGAAAUGCUUAGAUAUCACGAAGAACCCCGAUUGCGAAGGCAGCCCGCUGUGGCGCCACUGACGCUGAGGCUCGAAGGUGCGGGUAUCGAACAGG